GUCGUGAGAUGUUGGGUUAAGUCCCGCAACGAGCGCAACCCCUAUCCUAUGUUGCCAGCGCGUUAUGGCGGGGACUCGUAGGAGACUGCCGGUGCCAAACCGGAGGAAGGUGGGGAUGACGUCAAGUCCUCAUGCCCCUUACGUCCAGGGCUGCACACAUGCUACAAUGGCCGGUACAGAGGGCUGCGAUCCCGCGAGGGGGAGCUAAUCCCAAAAAGCCGGUCUCAGUUCGGAUCGUAGUCUGCAACUCGACUGCGUGAAGUCGGAGUCGCUAGUAAUCGCAGAUCAGCAUUGCUGCGGUGAAUACGUUCCCGGGCCUUGUACACACCGCCCGUCACACCACGAAAGUUGGUAACACCCGAAGCCGGUGGCCCAACCCUUGGGAGGGAGCCGUCGAAGGUGGGAUCAGCGAUUGGGGUGAAGUCGUAACAAGGUAGCCGUACCGGAAGGUGCGGCUGGAUCACCUCCUUUCUAAGGAGCGCACACUGCCGGCAUUCUCACAAAUGCCGGGAGCUCCUACGUUGAUCACUGGCCGAGUCGUCGAUCCCGGUAGACCGAACGCCUCCCGCUCUCUCGAGCUUCACGAGGGCUGGAGGACUAGUAGGGCCGAGUUCGCCGGCGCGGCGUCACUGUUCCGUUGUGAGGGCGCUGUCCCUCGAGGCCGUCUCGGCCGCCACCGUCGUCCGCACGCUCGACGACGCGCGGCCGGGCCUCAUCGCCCCUUGAGAGCUGAAGAGCGAGCACGAGCAUCUUUUCUAUAGCAAGAGUGCAAGAUGAACUCCCAAGCUAUGAAGAGCCAACGGUGGAUGCCUUGGCGCCAGAUGCCGAUGAAGGACGUGGGUGGCUGCGAAAAGCCACGGGGAGCCGCCGACCAGGCUUUGAUCCGUGGAUCU
rnacentral:sRNA from 1 species